rnacentral:lncRNA from 1 species
AUGGGAAGCGACUCUGUCCAGGGAGUGUCCUUCACCCCCACACUCCCCACGUCCAGGCAGGGACCGACGCGUCCGGCGGCACCCUCCCAGCGGGCCCAUAGCACGGGGCCACACACGUCCCCUGAGCUUAGCCUGGGCACAUUCGUCUGCCACCUAGGGCUCCCAGUCUGCAGCCCGCGCCCCGACACUCGGACGCACGUCCGUAGCCGGCUCUGCCACGCGGCCGCACAGCCCGAGCUUCCUGCUGCCCACUGCCCCCGGGCUCACUCAACUCCAGCCCUGCACACAGAGAAGGAAGCGGCGGGGACCCCCUGCCACCUCGGAGGCUCAACCCGGGGAAGGCCCCAGCAAUCCCCCUUAACCCUGCGAGAGGUGACGGGGCCGGAGGACGUAAGGGCAACCACGCCAGGCUCCCGACCGCGGCCCCACCCGGCCCAGGCAGUCCCCGCCCCCGCCCCCCUUUCGCUGUUGCGGGAAGCGCUGGGCACACUGACCGCGCGCCACCGGCCGGAGCCCGCCCGACGCCCCGGCCAGAGACCGCCUGCGAGAGGGAGGGGCGGCCGAGCGCGCGUCCCCCGCCCGUCUGCGGGACCCGGCCGAUGCGAAGUGACAGGGGCCGGAGCUUUGUUGUGGAGCCUCGGCCGCCUGGCGCCAGCCGCCCCGCCCGCGCCCUCCCCCUCCAGCCCCGGGCGGCCCGCGAGGCGCCCCCCGGGGCCUCUUAAAGAAACACGCACACUCGGCCCCGGGGACUCCGCCAGGGACGCGGGUUCCUGGGAAGGGGGAGGGGGCCAACCUAGGCGGGGGAGGGGCCCAGCGGGAGCCGCACGGCGCCGCUCCAGGGUCGCCCAGGCCUCCCCAGCGCCAGUUUUCGAUGAGCUGGAGAGUUUGGCUGGGGGUCGCUACAGACUCUUCAGAGCGGCUGCAGCAGGACCUCAGAGUGAUUGCGGGAUCCUGGGGCGGGGCGAGCGGUGGGAUCCUGGCCCCGGAAAGCCAGAGGGAAGGUCGGUGCCACUGUAG